GGGCUAUAGCUCAGUGGUAGAGCAUCUGCUUUCCAUGCAAAAGGUCCCAGGUCCGGUCCAUGGCAUCUCCA